GAAGGUGCAGAUAGCGGGUGGGGAAAACCUCCUCUGUGAAAGGAUGAUGUCAGUCUCUGCAGCUGAGCCCGGUCCCCAAUUCGAUGGGGUGAGUACAACCUCUCAGCCUGACAAACCAAGGAGAAGAGCAAGAAAGAGAAGAAGAUGAGGGAGGGUCUGCAGAAUGAAUGAAGAGCUGCAGCUCCCCUCACAUUCCCAGCAGAGGCGACCUGCGCGACCCUCGGCCCGAGUGUCAUUACCGCUGACCAGUGGCUCGUCUCUUGCGGCCCCCCAAUCCGCGGCCUCCCUGAGAGGCGACCAGGAGCACAUGGCUGUCCAGAGGAUGUGGGAGAUUCACUGCACGCUGUGUACAUCAAAUUAAGAGGUUUCAUCAUUUUUCGAGAUCGUCCGACUUCUGUCUCCACAUGCAAGCCAGUGUGUACUAUGGCUUUUUAUUCCUAUGUGAUGAUGACAAAUGCUCAUGUAGGAAUAGAAGCCACGUUACACAUGGUGUGAGGACAACAUGACGUGUGGCGGCUUGAUCACCGGGGCCAGUAAAGAUGCAAUUGUGACUGUCGUCUGGAGUUGUGUGCAAUAACAUGAAGUGUGUCAUUGAUGGCUGUGCAUCUAUUUUUGGCCCGCGGCACCAGUGCUGCUUUGUGUUUGACGCACGGCGUGACAGCAGAUCUGCAGGGACGACAAAGUGUACAAGGGAAGAAAAAGAGCCAGGAGGGAUCGAUACAGAUCUUUAAUAACAACUAUAAAAUAGGCACUUGGUGAUCCACUUUACAGCUUGCACGAGGCAACCGACUGCACAGAUGCACUUCCCUUUCUUGUCAUUCUUUUGCACAUUAUCAAAAUAAAACUUUGACAUGAAGCAUUACACAGA